CCUACGGGUGGCAGCAGUGGGGAAUAUUGCACAAUGGGGGAAACCCUGAUGCAGCGACGCCGCGUGAGUGAAGAAGUAUUUCGGUACGUAAAGCUCUAUCAGCAGGGAAGAAAAUGACGGUACCUGACUAAGAAGCCCCGGCUAACUACGUGCCAGCAGCCGCGGUAAUACGUAGGGGGCAAGCGUUAUCCGGAUUUACUGGGUGUAAAGGGAGCGUAGGCGGGAGUGCAAGUCUGGAGUGAAAUCCCAUGGCUUAACCAUGGAACUGCUUUGGAAACUGUGCGGCUAGAGUGCAGGAGAGGUAAGCGGAAUUCCUAGUGUAGCGGUGAAAUGCGUAGAUAUUAGGAGGAACACCAGUGGCGAAGGCGGCUUACUGGACUGUAACUGACGUUGAGGCUCGAAAGCGUGGGGAGCAAACAGGAUUAGAUACCCGAGUAGUC
rnacentral:rRNA from 1 species